UCUCUUGUAUGCUUAAUGGGUUUGAUUAAGUGGUUCGAGUGCCCGCCUCUGGUGCAGGGGGUCGCGGGUUCGAACCCCGACUGAGUUAU